rnacentral:pre_miRNA from 1 species
ACAACAUUCGGACCGUCGGCGUCGGUCUACCGAGCAAUAUCACCCGUUCGGUAGAAGAUCUUCCCUUUGUCGU